AGCAGGGAGAAGAAAGGCGAUGCUGGGUAAAGAAUGCGAAGAGGAUAAUUUAUAUAAUUAAUCACAGCGCUCUGAUCAAUAGAGCGUCAGAGGCCAUUUUCGAUACUGAGUAGAAUGACUUCUCAGAUGUAAUGGACUGCUUGGAAAUCUAUCCUUCUGACUUAGUCCAUAAAGAAGCAGCCAGAACCACGGAGCUGGGGCAGGAGAGGGUGUCAGAGAUAUCCAGCAGAAGCCUCAAGAUCUGGAUUAAAGGCAUGUGACUUCCAGUCUCAAGGUUGGGCUCUCCAUUUCUGGAUUGUAGU
rnacentral:lncRNA from 1 species